GUGCUGAUGCAUGCUUGAUUUCUAAAGAAGUCAAGUGUUGAGAAAUGUCUUUGUGUGUUCUUCCGUCAAGUAUCAUUUGUUGAAUCAAACAUCAAUGGUCUAAAAGUUAUAUACCAUUCUUACAACAUGUACAUGUAUGUGAGCAAGGUACUUUUUUCACUUGAGAGGACUGAAUUAAAGAUUUCGACCCCGACAAUUCAAAGAAAAAAAAGACAAACAAAAACAAAAUUCAGAUAGAUAGAUAUAUACAAUAAAUG
rnacentral:lncRNA from 1 species